UACGGAGGGUGCAAGCGUUGUCCGGAUUUAUUGGGUUUAAAGGGUGCGUAGGUGGUCCAUUAAGUCUGGGGUGAAAGCCCGUUGCUCAACAACGGAACUGCCCUGGAAACUGGUGGACUUGAGUACAGACGAGGGUGGCGGAAUGGAUGGUGUAGCGGUGAAAUGCAUAGAUACCAUCCAGAAUCCCCGAUUGCGAAGGCAGCUGCCUAGACUGUAACUGACGCUGAGGCACGAAAGCGUGGGGAGCGAACAGG
rnacentral:rRNA from 1 species